AGUGAACGCUGGCGGUAGGCCUAACACAUGCAAGUCGAACGGCAGCACAGUAAGAGCUUGCUCUUACGGGUGGCGAGUGGCGGACGGGUGAGGUAUACAUCGGAAUCUACUUUUUCGUGGGGGAUAACGUAGGGAAACUUACGCUAAUACCGCAUACGACCUACGGGUGAAAGCAGGGGAUCUUCGGACCUUGCGCGAUUGAAUGAGCCGAUGUCGGAUUAGCUAGUUGGCGGGGUAAAGGCCCACCAAGGCGACGAUCCGUAGCUGGUCUGAGAGGAUGAUCGGCCACACUGGAACUGAGACACGGUCCAGACUCCUACGGGAGGCAGCAGUGGGGAAUAUUGGACAAUGGGCGCAAGCCUGAUCCAGCCAUACCGCGUGGGUGAAGAAGGCCUUCGGGUUGUAAAGCCCUUUUGUUGGGAAAGAAAAGCAGCAGGUUAAUACCCCGCUGUUCUGACGGUACCCAAAGAAUAAGCACCGGCUAACUUCGUG
rnacentral:rRNA from 1 species